rnacentral:rRNA from 1 species
AUGCACGCUGACAGAAUGCUUAACACCUGCAAGUCGAUGGGGAAGUGGUGCUUGCACCAUGGCACCCAUGGCGGACGGGUGAGUAACGCGUAAGGGACUUACCUGCAGGACUGGGAUAACAGGGGGAAACUCCUGACAAGACCGGAUAAUGUCAUGGAGCUGCAUGGCUUUAUGAUGAAAGGAGACGCCUGCGGAGAGCCUUGCGUCCUAUUAGCUAGUUGGUGAGGUAAUGGCUCACCAAGGCGAAGAUAGGUAGCCGGCCUGAGAGGGUGGACGGCCACAAGGGGACUGAGAUACGGCCCUUACUCCUACGGGAGGCAGCAGUGGGGAAUAUUGGACAAUGGGGGCAACCCUGAUCCAGCAAUUCUGUGUGCACGAAGAAGGUUUUCGGAGUGUAAAGUGCUUUCAGCAGGGAAGAAGUAAGUGACGGUACCUGCAGAAGAAGCGACGGCUAAAUACGUG